rnacentral:lncRNA from 1 species
AAUGUGUUUUUAAUGAUUACCAUUCAAAACCUGUUACUGAAGGAGCUCUUAUCCUGUUGUAAAGGCCCGUUUUAGCUUAUAUCUUGUUGGUAUAUUAAUAUACUUGUUGCGAUUUAAUCUCCUUUUGGGUCCUUUCAGUUCUGCACAUGGAAGAAGAAGGUCGUUUGCAAAUAGAUGCCAGGGUUGAUUUUGCUUCUUAUCGAAGGAAUCCUCGAUUGUUUAUACUUGCUGAUGUUUAAUAUAUGGACUUAAUUAUUCUAUGCGCAUUUAGAUAUUGUGAGAGAAUACUUAAAUAGUAUUUUGAGAUUUUUGUUGAGUGAUUUAAAUCUAUAAGUUAUGCAGUUUAUAUAGCAGGGAGUUAUCAUAAUGACUGUUUGUUUUGUGACCUGCUACAAUUUAAUCCUGGAGUAUUGAGGUGCUUAUUUUUGUGUUACUGGAAGGUAUACACUUAAACGAGAGGUAAAAGAGCAGGUCGAUAUUCGAAGAUAAUGUCAAGAUCAACACAGUCCAGAUGGUACAUCCACACCGCAACGCCACCCAGCCGUUUCAGCCCCGCAACCGGUGAAUCUGAACCCGCAACAACUUGUGGUUGUGGUGUGCCUUGUUGCAGAACACCAUUGUCCCGUGUUUACGCAGCGAAGGAGCAUUUUGGCUGAUGAUUCGCUGCACUCUCAGACAGUGUUGAACAAAAUGGUGAGUUGGUUCCGAUGUAGAGCAUUUAUAACGACUUGGGAGAGCACGUUUCAGCAAAUGUUAAACUUACGAUGGUUAAUGGCGAAUUCAUAGAGUAAACAGUAUUGUCACGCUCAGAUCACACUAAUAACAGUCAAGGUCAGAGUUUUUUUUUCUUGUUACUGAAGCAGACUGAUAUCUAAAAUUUCAGUCAAAGGCUCCGGCCAAAAAGAUAGAUUCAUUGCCGGUCCUUAAUGUACAUGAGUAUCUAUAUAUACCGUGCGCAAGAAAAUGUUAUGACUUUAGUUUUCAAGGUAUUUGUACCAAAUUUGCUUGUGUAUACGAACAUAGAUGUACGCGUUGUCAUGGGAAGCACUCUAGGAAGUAUUUAUUUUUUUCAGAAUCACGUAGCUACCAAUCAAUAUCGUUCUAGGUACUCGUCAUUUGGACCUGGUGGAAACUUCAGAUAGCCAAAACCGACAUCUCAAAGAGGGUCACUUUAACCUCCAUUCCCUCACCAAAACCCUUAUUGACUUAGCAGUAUUACAAGUCUAUCUUUCUUUAUAUCCAAAAUAAUAAGUGGCAGCUGAAUAUUUAGAGGGUUCUAACAAAGGGUUUCGAUUACAAAACCAGCGCCCUAGAGUCCAAACUUCGUGUCAAACUUUAAUUUCCGUUAGGCAAAACUCUGAUGUAGCUAAUAAGAAAGUUAUGUAGGAAGAGCAGUUAAGCAGAUUUGCGGUUCCUUUUCAAGAAAUUCUUGUUCCAAAUUUCAGGCAAUCCGCGAUCAGUCUUGUGGCCAAAAAAGAUGGUAGCUCGAGGAUUAUACACCAUCUUUCCUUCCCGCAGGGUUAAAGUUUGAAUGAUUUUUAUUGAUACGGCUUCUUCCUCAGUUCAGUACACUUCUUUAGACAGGGUGACGGAGCUAUUGUUUCAUAAGUGCAAUAUUGCAAAUGGCUAAAUUGUCAUAAGAUUUGCCUUUCGCCUUUUGAGGUUCAUAAUUAUGAUUUUAAAAUUAUUAGGCUUCUUACUAGGAGGGGAUUAUUUUACGGACAAGGCGUUACCUAUGAGUGUGCAAUCUCUUGCUGCCAUUGGGAAAAGUUUGCUAAUUUAUUACAAUAGCUGGUCCGGUACAAGAGGAAAUCCGAAAGGCUGUUUUAAUACUUGGAGGAUAAUUAUGUUUGUUUGGCUGGCUCUAAUUCAGGGAAUGUAUGGCCAAUUUUUCUGUUUUAUAGAUAUAUGCAAAUACCCAUUUUUGAUUUUUAUGGAUAUGUGAGCUUGUACACACGAACUCAAGCUCCUCGAAUAUAAGUGCUAAAGGUCACGCAUUAUGUGAGGGAGACGUAAGUAUUGUAAGUAUUGGUGUACUUCGCAUAAUUCUUCAUUCAUCAAAAAACGAUCAGAAAAAGGCGAAGGAGUAGCUAUUCAUUUACAACCGGCACAUUGCUCUACUUGACCCCUGGAUUUAAUAGAGCGAUAUAUGGUUGUUCGACCAUCUAGUGCUUCAAACUAUUAAUUUGUUUAUUUAAACGGUCUACCCGUCAUACGCUGUCAGUUUAGUGGGUUCUAAAGAAAUCUUUGACUGCCAUUCCAUAUAAACCACAUUCAUUCAGAGUAGGUGCUGCAACAGCAGCAUGACUGCUGACGAUAUUACAAGAAUGGGACGUUGCGCCCCGGAUUCAAGUGCAUUUAAAUCUUACAUUAGAAUCCUCUCACGUCAGCUGUUGUCACUCAGAUCUUAAGCCUAUAGGCAGUUUCAUUUGUACCUGCCAUCUGUUUGCCCAUUUUUUGUUGACAAAUGUUUUCAGCUUUUCAGUGCGUCCUACCCAUAUUUGGAUAGUUGGAUGUUCAAUAAUAAAGUCGGUAUUUCGUUACGACAAGGAAUCAGCUGAGGGUUCUCAGCUUGUAAUGCAGCGUCAUAAUACGACCAUACUAUGUCAGAGUCAGGGUGGUAUGAAAUGGUGGCAAGUUAAACCUUUAAUCUUACACUUGUUUCCUUUUGAAGACAAUCAAGGUAUCAUUGUUAUUCACUGUGUAAUUAACUUAUUUUUCAUUAGAGGGAGCUAGAAAACGCGUUAAUAAUUUCGCUGCUCAUUUGUUUUUACAAUACAUUGGUGGAUACUUUCGUUAACCAGAAAUCGUCGAAUCCGUGACGGGUCUCUUCAACAGGGAUGGGGGCACUUGUCAUAAUUUGGAAAUAUUUUGUUUUUAUUCACUCUGCAACACAAGCUUCAGUUCUUCCUAGCAGUAAAUUAUUUAGGCACAGCUUCUCAGGCAGGGAUUGCUUCGCUAUACUGGUGGCGGUUGUCAAGAAUUUUCCACGUUGUUCCAAAUUCUCGACAUGUGGCGGUUAGGUCAGCCUCCACCAGUAUAUCUUAACGUUGUGUAAUAAGAAGUUUGUUUGUUUCAAGUAUACUGUAUUAGGCCUCUGUUCACAGGGCCUCCACAUCUGCAUU